GCCCGUCACACCAUGGGAGUGGGUUGCAAAAGAAGUAGGUAGCUUAACCUUCGGGAGGGCGCUUACCACUUUGUGAUUCAUGACUGGGGUGAAGUCGUAACAAGGUAACCGUAGGGGAACCUGCGGUUGGAUCACCUCCUUACCUUAAAGAA
rnacentral:rRNA from 1 species